rnacentral:lncRNA from 1 species
AGAGCAGCAAAUAAAGUCAUCCCCAGAUGAUGCUUCUUUUUCAGAGAAUCAAGAAGAGUCUGCCCUGGAAGUCAUUGCACUUAAAUCAAGGAAACGCAGACAGUACAGUAGCAAAGUGAAUGUGGCUUGUUUGGCAAGGACUUUCUACUCUAAGAACAUCAGCCUUGAUGUACCCAAGGGUGACACUGUAUAUGACCUGAAGGCACCUCUUGUCACAUCAGAGGGGAUGUACAGUACCCUGAAGGUAGUUGUGGUGGAACCAGAGAUGGAGGUGACCUGCAAGGCUGUGCACAAGGGGAACAAGACUGCAGCCAGCACAACCCUUCCAGAAAAGAAAGCUGAAGAACUGGUAACAGUGAAUGCUUGCAACAUUACAGACACCUCUUCAAAAGGUAUCAAAAUGGAGAAAGCAAACUUGCUGUUCAUGGCUGUAUUGGGUUUGAGAGUCCUGCUGGCAAAAAGCAUCGCCUUCAAUACACUCAUGAGUAUCAGGCUGUUGCUCUUCUGAGGCAGCGAACACACUGUUCAGUCCCUGGGAACAUAAGAGGCAAGUGCAGGGAGUGACUCUUUGACUUUGUAUCCCUCUGUAACCCCAGAAAGAGCGAUGUCGGUUCA